rnacentral:rRNA from 1 species
UACGGAGGGGGCAAGCGUUGUUCGGAAUUACUGGGCGUAAAGGGCUCGUAGGCGGCCAACUAAGUCAGACGUGAAAUCCCUCGGCUUAACCGGGGAACUGCGUCUGAUACUGGAUGGCUAGAGGUUGGGAGAGGGAUGCGGAAUUCCAGGUGUAGCGGUGAAAUGCGUAGAUAUCGGGAGGAACACCUGUGGCGAAGGCGGCCCCCUGGUUGGAUACUGACGCUGAUACGCGAAAGCGUGGGGAGCAAACAGG